CGGGUGAGUAACGCGUAGAUAAUGUGCCCUUUCGCUGGGGAUAGCCACUGGAAACGGUGGGUAAUACCGAAUACUCUUUUCAGGUGGCAUCACUUGAAAAGGAAAAACUCCGGUGCGAAUUGAGCAGUUUGCGUCCUAUUAGCUAGUUGGUGGGGUAAUGGCCUACCAAGGCGACGAUGGGUAGCCGGUCUGAGAGGAUGAUCGGCCACACUGGCACUGAGAUACGGGCCAG
rnacentral:rRNA from 1 species